GACGUAGGUGGCGAGCGUUGUUCGGAAUCACUGGGCAUAAAGCGCACGUAGGCGGCCAUAUAAGUCGAAUGUGAAAGCCCUCGGCUCAACCGAGGAACUGCGCCCGAUACUGCAUGGCUUGAGGUCCGGAGGGGAGAGUGGAAUUCCCGGUGGAGCGGUGAAAUGCGUAGAGAUCGGGAAGAACGCCGGCGGCGAAAGCGACUCUCUGGUCGGAAUCUGACGCUGAGGUGCGAAAGCUAGGGGAGCAAACGGG
rnacentral:rRNA from 1 species